GCUGACAGGAGGGGCAGCAGGGGUUUGGUUACCUGUUGGACAGAUUUUAAAAGGUGUCACCAGGCAAGGAGCAUCAUGAUGUAAUGAGGAGAGUAGAGGACAGUGUACAGCCCGCCCCCCAGGUAGAGGACAGUGUACAGGCCCCCCCCCAGGUAGAGGACAGUGUACAGGUGCCACCCCAGGUAGAGGACAGUGUACAGGUGCCACCCCAGGUAGAGGACAGUGUACAGGUGCCACCCCAGGUAGAGGACAGGGUACAGGUGCCACCCCAGGUAGAGGACAGUGUACAGGUGCCACCCCAGGUAGAGGACAGUGUACAGGUGCCACCCCAGGUAGAGGACAGUGUACAGGUGCCACCCCAGGUAGAGGACAGUGUACAGGUGCCACCCCAGGUAGAGGACAGUGUACAGGUGCCACCCCAGGUAGAGGACAGUGUACAGGUGCCACCCCAGGUAGAGGACAGUGUACAGGUGCCACCCCAGGUAGAGGACAGUGUACAGGUGCCACCCCAGGUAGAGGACAGUGUACAGGUGCCACCCCAGGUAGAGGACAGUGUACAGGUGCCACCCCAGGUAGAGGACAGUGUACAGGUGCCACCCCAGGUAGAGGCCGGGUACAGGGCCCCCCCCAGGUAGAGGACAGGGUACAGGUGCCACCCCAGGUAGAGGACAGUGUACAGGUGCCACCCCAGGUAGAGGACAGGGUACAGGGGACUGGUUGAAAAUAUUGGACCCCCUGCCUGCAUCUCUCUCUGUAGAGGGAUUUACUGUAUGAGAUCACAGAGAAACUCAUCCCAUAGAAACUCAUCCCAUAAUAGAAGUCUACAGGUCACAGAGAAACUCAUCCCAUAAUAGAAGUCUACAGGUUACAGAGAAACUCAUCCCAUAAUAGAAGUCUACAGGUCACAGAGACACUCAUCCCAUAAUAGAAGUCUACAGGUCACAGAGACACUCAUCCCAUAAUACAGGU